GGCCGGAAGUGCGGAUGUGGGCCGGUCUGCGGGCCUUUUCACUGCGCUGUUUUCUUUUUCUUUUUCCUUUUUGUUCAAAAGUGAUUGAUGUUUGAUUUUAUGUAUUAAAUCAUGUGCUGAUUCAAAAAAUUGUGAAAAUUUUUGUAUAGAUUCCAUAAGAUGAGUAGAACACAUGAAAAAUAUUAGAUUCCAUUUUCUGGCAGUUUGCAUAUAUAUGAAAAUUGUCCCUGUUU
rnacentral:lncRNA from 1 species